CGGGAAUUUUGGGCAAUGGGCGAAAGCCUGACCCAGCAACGCCGCGUGAAGGAUGAGGUAUUUCGGUAUGUAAACUUCGAAAGAAUGGGAAGAAUAAAUGACGGUACCAUUUAUAAGCUCCGGCUAACUACGUGCCAGCAGCCGCGGUAAUACGUAGGGAGCAAGCGUUGUUCGGAAUUACUGGGCGUAAAGGGCUCGUAGGCGGCCAACUAAGUCACACGUGAAAUCCCCAGGCUUAACCUGGGAACUGCGUGUGAUACUGGAUGGCUUGAAUUCGGGAGAGGGAUGCAGAAUUCCAGGUGUAGCGGUGAAAUGCGUAGAUAUCUGGAGGAAUACCGGUGGCGAAGGCGGCAUCCUGGACCGACAUUGACGCUGAGGAGCGAAAGCUAGGGGAGCAAA
rnacentral:rRNA from 1 species